UGUGCAGUGGCAGGAAAGGUGCUGUGCUGUAUCUGGGUAAAUUUCUUGACGCUCACAGU
rnacentral:pre_miRNA from 1 species